rnacentral:rRNA from 1 species
UGGGGAAUUUUGCACAAUGGGGGAAACCCUGAUGCAGCGACGCCGCGUGAUUUAGAAGGCCUUCGGGUUGUAAAAAUCUUUUGUAUGGGAAGAAAAUGACAGUACCAUACGAAUAAGGACCGGCUAAAUACGUGCCAGCAGCCGCGGUAAUACGUAUGGGGCGAGCGUUGUCCGGAAUUAUUGGGCGUAAAGGGUACGUAGGCGGUCUAUUAAGUCAGGUGUGAAAGCGUGAGGCUUAACCUCAUUAAGCACUUGAAACUGAUAGACUUGAGUGAAGGAGAGGAAAGUGGAAUUCCUAGUGUAGCGGUGAAAUGCGUAGAUAUUAGGAGGAAUACCGGUGGCGAAGGCGACUUUCUGGACUUUUACUGACGCUCAGGUACGAAAGCGUGGGGAGCAAACAGG